AUUGAACGCUGGCGGCAUGCUUUACACAUGCAAGUCGAACGGUAACUGGGAGCUUGCUCCGCUGACGAGUGGCGAACGGGUGAGUAAUGCGUCGGAACGUGCCGAGUAGUGGGGGAUAACGCAUCGAAAGGUGUGCUAAUACCGCAUACGUACUGAGGUAGAAAGUGGGGGACCUUCGGGCCUCACGCUAUUCGAGCGGCCGACGUCUGAUUAGCUAGUUGGUGAGGUAAAGGCUCAGCAAGGCGAAGAUCAGUAGCGGGGCUGAGAGGAUGUUCCGCCACACUGGGACUGAGACACGGCCCAGACUCCUACGGGAGGCAGCAGUGGGGAAUUUUGGACAAUGGGCGCAAGCCUGAUCCAGCCAUGCCGCGUGUCUGAAGAAGGCCUUCGGGUUGUAAAGGACUUUUGUCCGGGAGCAAAUGCCUGGUGUUAAUAGCACUGGGAGCUGAGAGUACCGGAAGAAUAAGCACCGGCUAACUACGUGCCAGCCGCCGCGGUAAGAC
rnacentral:rRNA from 1 species